rnacentral:rRNA from 1 species
UACGUAGGUGACAAGCGUUGUCCGGAUUUACUGGGCGUAAAGAGCGCGCAGGCGGUCGAUCAAGUCGAGUGUGAAAGCCCCCGGCUCAACUGGGGAGGGUCAUUCGAUACUGAUCGACUCGAAGGCAGGAGAGGGUAGUGGAAUUCCCGGUGUAGUGGUGAAAUGCGUAGAUAUCGGGAGGAACACCAGUGGCGAAGGCGACUACCUGGCCUGUUCUUGACGCUGAGGCGCGAAAGCUAGGGGAGCGAACCGG